rnacentral:rRNA from 1 species
GACGAGGGGUCCAAGCGUUGUUCGGAAUCAUUGGGCGUAAAGCGGGUGUAGGUGGAUUUGUAAGUCAGGAGUGAAAGCCCCGAGCUCAACUUGGGAAGUGCUUUUGAUACUGCAAAUCUUGAAUGUGGGAGAGGAUCGUGGAAUUCCAGGUGUAGUGGUGAAAUACGUAGAUAUCUGGAGGAACACCGGUGGCGAAGGCGGCGAUCUGGCCCAACAUUGACACUGAGACCCGAAAGCGUGGGGAUCAAACAGG